rnacentral:rRNA from 1 species
ACUAAGCGUACACGGUGGAUGCCUUGGCAGUCAGAGGCGAUGAAAGACGUAGUAACUUGCGAUAAGCCCAGAUUAGGUAGUAACAACCAUUUGAGUCUGGGAUUUCUGAAUGGGGAAACCCACGUGCAUAAGCACGUAUCCUUACCUGAAUACAUAGGGUAAGGAGGCGAACCGGGGGAACUGAAACAUCUAAGUACCCCGAGGAAAAGAAAUCAACCGAGAUUCCGAAAGUAGCGGCGAGCGAAAUUGGACUAGCCCUUAAGCUUUACACGCGUUAGACGAACGGUCUGGAAAGUCCGACGAUACAGGGUGAUAGUCCCGUAGUUGACGACGUGUGUUCAGUGAAAUCGAGUAGGGCGGGACACGUGAUAUCCUGUCUGAAUAUGGGGGACCAUCCUCCAAGGCUAAAUACUACUGACUGACCGAUAGUGAACCAGUACCGUGAGGGAAAGGCGAAAAGAACCCCUGUGAGGGGAGUGAAAUAGAACCUGAAACCGUGUACGUACAAGCAGUAGGAGCAGGCUUUGUCCUGUGACUGCGUACCUUUUGUAUAAUGGGUCAGCGACUUAUAUUCAGUGGCAAGGUUAACCAUCUAGGGGAGCCGUAGGGAAACCGAGUCUUAACUGGGCGUUCAGUCUCUGGAUAUAGACCCGAAACCAGGUGAUCUAGCCAUGGGCAGGUUGAAGGUUGAGUAACAUCAACUGGAGGACCGAACCGACUAAUGUUGAAAAAUUAGCGGAUGACUUGUGGCUAGGGGUGAAAGGCCAAUCAAACCUGGAGAUAGCUGGUUCUCCCGAAAGCUAUUUAGGUAGCGCCUCGGACGAAUACUACUGGGGGUAGAGCACUGUUAAGGCUAGGGGUCAUCCCGACUUACCAACCCUUUGCAAACUCCGAAUACCAGUAAGUACUAUCCGGGAGACACACGGCGGGUGCUAACGUCCGUCGUGGAGAGGGAAACAACCCAGACCGCCAGCUAAGGUCCCAAAUUACUACUAAGUGGGAAACGAUGUGGGAAGGCUCAGACAGCCAGGAUGUUGGCUUAGAAGCAGCCAUCAUUUAAAGAAAGCGUAAUAGCUCACUGGUCGAGUCGGCCUGCGCGGAAGAUGUAACGGGGCUAAGUAGUAAACCGAAGCUGCGGCAAUGUGCUUUUGCACAUUGGGUAGGGGAGCGUUCUGUAAGCGGUUGAAGGUGUGUGGUAACGCAUGCUGGACGUAUCAGAAGUGCGAAUGCUGACAUGAGUAACGAUAAAGGGGGUGAAAAACCUCCUCGCCGGAAGACCAAGGGUUCCUGUCCAACGUUAAUCGGGGCAGGGUAAGUCGACCCCUAAGGCGAGGCCGAAAGGCGUAGUCGAUGGGAAACGGGUUAAUAUUCCCGUACUUCUUACAAUUGCGAUGGGGGACGGAGAAGGCUAGGUGGGCCUGGCGACGGUUGUCCAGGUUCAAGUGCGUAGGCUUGAGAGUUAGGUAAAUCCGGCUCUCUUUAAGGCUGAGACACGACGUCGAGCACCUACGGGUGUGAAGUCAUUGAUGCCAUGCUUCCAGGAAAAGCCUCUAAGCUUCAGAUUGUAAGGAAUCGUACCCCAAACCGACACAGGUGGUCGGGUAGAGAAUACCAAGGCGCUUGAGAGAACUCGGGUGAAGGAACUAGGCAAAAUGGUACCGUAACUUCGGGAGAAGGUACGCUCUCGACGGUGAAGUCCCUCGCGGAUGGAGCUAUUGAGAGUCGCAGAUACCAGGUGGCUGCAACUGUUUAUUAAAAACACAGCACUGUGCAAAAUCGUAAGAUGACGUAUACGGUGUGACGCCUGCCCGGUGCCGGAAGGUUAAUUGAUGGGGUUAGACUUCGGUCGAAGCUCUUGAUCGAAGCCCCGGUAAACGGCGGCCGUAACUAUAACGGUCCUAAGGUAGCGAAAUUCCUUGUCGGGUAAGUUCCGACCUGCACGAAUGGCGUAAUGAUGGCCACGCUGUCUCCACCCGAGACUCAGUGAAAUUGAAAUCGCUGUGAAGAUGCAGUGUACCCGCGGCUAGACGGAAAGACCCCGUGAACCUUUACUACAGCUUGGCACUGAACAUUGACCCUACAUGUGUAGGAUAGGUGGGAGGCUUUGAAGCACGUACGCCAGUAUGUGUGGAGCCGUCCUUGAAAUACCACCCUUGUAGUGUUGAUGUUCUAACGUCGACCCCUUAUCGGGGUUGCGGACAGUGCCUGGUGGGUAGUUUGACUGGGGCGGUCUCCUCCCAAAGAGUAACGGAGGAGCACGAAGGUGGGCUAAUCACGGUUGGACAUCGUGAGGUUAGUGCAAUGGCAUAAGCCCGCUUGACUGCGAGAAUGACAAUUCGAGCAGGUGCGAAAGCAGGUCAUAGUGAUCCGGUGGUUCUGAAUGGAAGGGCCAUCGCUCAACGGAUAAAAGGUACUCCGGGGAUAACAGGCUGAUACCGCCCAAGAGUUCAUAUCGACGGCGGUGUUUGGCACCUCGAUGUCGGCUCAUCACAUCCUGGGGCUGAAGUCGGUCCCAAGGGUAUGGCUGUUCGCCAUUUAAAGUGGUACGCGAGCUGGGUUUAGAACGUCGUGAGACAGUUCGGUCCCUAUCUGCCGUGGGCGUUGGAAGAUUGAAGGGGGCUGCUCCUAGUACGAGAGGACCGGAGUGGACGAACCUCUGGUGUUCGGGUUGUGUCGCCAGACGCAUUGCCCGGUAGCUAAGUUCGGAAUCGAUAACCGCUGAAAGCAUCUAAGCGGGAAGCGAGCCCUGAGAUGAGUCUUCCCUGAUACUUUAAGUAUCCUAAAGGGUUGUCGGAGACUACGACGUUGAUAGGUCAGGUGUGUAAGUGCUGUGAGGCAUUGAGCUAACUGAUACUAAUUGCCCGUGAGGCUUAACC